CCGCGUGACAAUCGGCUUAAUAAUGCUUCAGUGUGUGGUACUCCUCAAAACACGGGACAGCACACAAGGGAGUGUUGCAUGGCACACACAUGUGCUUGGUGAGGCGCCUCUGCUUGCCCUUGCGUGUGUCCAAGGCAGGACACCCGCCUUUGGUUGGACCUCGCAACGUGCUGUACUCCUCCAGCAGCCCUCUCAUCAGUAAUUUGCCGGUAGACGAUGUGGCUGUUGAGUAAAACCGUGUCGAGUACAUGAAAAAAUACUUUCUUGUACCACUUGGUAGACUUUCUGGUGCAUUCAUGAAAACCAGUCAUCAUAUCAGCUUUGUCAACUGCACCCAUCUUUUUGUUGUACUCCAGUACACAGACUGGCUUCAUCAUUGGUUGCCCAGUGAGGUGAUCCAGCUUGCCUGUGGCUGCCAUACCAGUUGGAUGGACUGUGGUGAACUUUGGCAUCCCUUUUCUGUGUCCGCGCACGGUCCCACAAGCUCCAGUGCCAAGUGACAAGAGGUGCUGGAAAAGUGUGGGACUACUGUACCAGUUGUCAACAUAUAGAACAUGACAUUUGCUUAAGUAAGGUGCUAAGAGUGUCAUC